UGGGUUGUGGCUCAGUGGUAGAGUGCUCGCCUAGCACGUGUGAGGCCCUGGGUUCGAUCCUCAGCACUACAU
rnacentral:tRNA from 1 species